rnacentral:piRNA from 1 species
UGGUGCUCCUAACCCGAUUGCAUUCAC